rnacentral:rRNA from 1 species
GACGAACGCUGGCGGCGUGCCUAACACAUGCAAGUCGAACGGGACCGGGGGCAACUUCGGUUCAGUGGCGGACGGGUGCGUAACACGUGAGGAACAUGACCUUCGGCGGGGGAUAGCCGGCCCAACGGCCGGGUAAUACCGCGUACGACCAUUCGGGGACAUCCUCGAGUGGUGAAAGCAGCAAUGCGCCGCUGGAGUGCCUCGCGGCCUAUCAGCUAGUUGGUGGGGUAACGGCUCACCAAGGCGACGACGGGUAGCUGGUCUGAGAGGAUGGCCAGCCACAUUGGGACUGAGACACGGCCCAGACUCCUACGGGAGGCAGCAGUGGGGAAUAUUGCGCAAUGGACGAAAGUCUGACGCAGCGACGCCGCGUGUGGGAUGACGGUCUUCGGAUUGUAAACCACUGUCGGGAGGGACGAAUACGCCGCAAGGCGGGUGACGGUACCUCCAAAGGAAGCACCGGCUAACUCCGUGCCAGCAGCCGCAGUAAUAC